rnacentral:lncRNA from 1 species
UUCACUCUUUUGACUCUUUUCCUACUCGAAUUUUCCGAGCAUUUCAUAUGUUGUUAGAGUCUUAAGUCUCGGCAAGUGCAUUUUUCUCUUCUUUUUUUCUUCUUUUUUUCUUUUUUAGAAAAUACAUACUAUUUUCCUUUUUGUAUGAUCUCUUAUUAUGCACUUGCCUUCUCUUUCAAGAUUUCCACCCCAAACUUAGUUUUAUUGCACAUCUUGCA